GCCGGCGUAGCUCAGUUGGUAGAGCAGCUGAUUUGUAAUCAGCAGGUCGUGGGUUCGAGCCCCUCCGCCGGCUCCA
rnacentral:tRNA from 1 species